GAAGGUGUGUCGUGAGGCAUGCUGGAGGUAUCAGAAGUGCGAAUGCUGACAUAAGUAACGAUAAAGCGGGUGAAAAGCCCGCUCGCCGGAAGACCAAGGGUUCCUGUCCAACGUUAAUCGGGGCAGGGUGAGUCGACCCCUAAGGCGAGGCCGAAAGGCGUAGUCGAUGGGAAACGGGUUAAUAUUCCCGUACUUGGUGUUACUGCGAAGGGGGGACGGAGAAGGCUAUGUUGGCCGGGCGACGGUUGUCCCGGUUUAAGCGUGUAGGUGUGUGUUCCAGGUAAAUCCGGUUCACUUUAACACUGAGGCGUGACGACGAGGCACUACGGUGCUGAAGCAACAAAUGCCCUGCUUCCAGGAAAAGCCUCUAAGCAUCAGGUAACAUCAAAUCGUACCCCAAACCGACACAGGUGGUCAGGUAGAGAAUACCAAGGCGCUUGAGAGAACUCGGGUGAAGGAACUAGGCAAAAUGGUGCCGUAACUUCGGGAGAAGGCACGCUGACACGUAGGUGAAGUGAUUUACUCAUGGAGCUGAAGUCAGUCGAAGAUACCAGCUGGCUGCAACUGUUUAUUAAAAACACAGCACUGUGCAAACACGAAAGUGGACGUAUACGGUGUGACGCCUGCCCGGUGCCGGAAGGUUAAUUGAUGGGGUCAGCGCAAGCGAAGCUCCUGAUCGAAGCCCCGGUAAACGGCGGCCGUAACUAUAACGGUCCUAAGGUAGCGAAAUUCCUUGUCGGGUAAGUUCCGACCUGCACGAAUGGCGUAAUGAUGGCCAGGCUGUCUCCACCCGAGACUCAGUGAAAUUGAACUCGCUGUGAAGAUGCAGUGUACCCGCGGCAAGACGGAAAGACCCCGUGAACCUUUACUAUAGCUUGACACUGAACAUUGAGCCUUGAUGUGUAGGAUAGGUGGGAGGCUUUGAAGUGUGGACGCCAGUCUGCAUGGAGCCGACCUUGAAAUACCACCCUUUAAUGUUUGAUGUUCUAACGUGGACCCGUUACCCGGGUUGCGGACAGUGUCUGGUGGGUAGUUUGACUGGGGCGGUCUCCUCCUAAAGAGUAACGGAGGAGCACGAAGGUUGGCUAAUCCUGGUCGGACAUCAGGAGGUUAGUGCAAUGGCAUAAGCCAGCUUGACUGCGAGCGUGACGGCGCGAGCAGGUGCGAAAGCAGGUCAUAGUGAUCCGGUGGUUCUGAAUGGAAGGGCCAUCGCUCAACGGAUAAAAGGUACUCCGGGGAUAACAGGCUGAUACCGCCCAAGAGUUCAUAUCGACGGCGGUGUUUGGCACCUCGAUGUCGGCUCAUCACAUCCUGGGGCUGAAGUAGGUCCCAAGGGUAUGGCUGUUCGCCAUUUAAAGUGGUACGCGAGCUGGGUUUAGAACGUCGUGAGACAGUUCGGUCCCUAUCUGCCGUGGGCGCUGGAGAACUGAGGGGGGCUGCUCCUAGUACGAGAGGACCGGAGUGGACGCAUCACUGGUGUUCGGGUUGUCAUGCCAAUGGCACUGCCCGGUAGCUAAAUGCGGAAGAGAUAAGUGCUGAAAGCAUCUAAGCACGAAACUUGCCCCGAGAUGAGUUCUCCCUGAGACUUAGAGUCUCCUGAAGGAACGUUGAAGACGACGACGUUGAUAGGCCGGGUGUGUAAGCGCAGCGAUGCGUUGAGCUAACCGGUACUAAUGAACCGUGAGGCUUAACCUUACAACGCCGAAG
rnacentral:rRNA from 2 species